UACGGAGGGGGCUAGCGUUGUUCGGAAUUACUGGGCGUAAAGCGCACGUAGGCGGCUUUGUAAGUUAGAGGUGAAAGCCCGGGGCUCAACUCCGGAAUUGCCUUUAAGACUGCAUCGCUAGAAUUGUGGAGAGGUAAGUGGAAUUCCGAGUGUAGAGGUGAAAUUCGUAGAUAUUCGGAAGAACACCAGUGGCGAAGGCGACUUACUGGACACAUAUUGACGCUGAGGUGCGAAAGCGUGGGGGAGCAAACAGGAUUAGAAACCUUGUACGUC
rnacentral:rRNA from 1 species